GGANUGCANUGGAGGAACUCUGAUGCAGCGACGCCGCGUGAGCGAUGAAGCCCUUCGGGGUGUAAAGCUCUUUCGACAGGAACGAUAAUGACGGUACCUGGAGAAGAAGCUGCGGCUAACUACGUGCCAGCAGCCGCGGUAAUACGUAGGCAGCAAGCGUUGUUCGGAAUUACUGGGCGUAAAGAGUGUGUAGGCGGUUCUCUAAGUUCGGUGUGAAAUCUCCCGGCUUAACUGGGAGGGUGCGCCGGAAACUGGAGGGCUUGAGUAUGGGAGAGGAAAGCGGAAUUCCUGGUGUAGCGGUGAAGUGCGUAGAUAUCAGGAGGAACACCUGCGGUGUAGACGGCUUUCUGGACCAUCACUGACGCUGAGACACGAAAGCGUGGGUAGCAAACAGGAUUAGAUACCCUGGUAGUCCACGCCCUAAACGAUGCAUACUUGGUGUGAGCCGUUCAUUCGGUUCGUGCCGGAGCUAACGCGUUAAGUAUGCCGCCUGGGGAGUACGGUCGCAAGGCUGAAACUCAAAAAAAUUGACGGA
rnacentral:rRNA from 1 species